GACAGAGGGUGCAAACGUUGUUCGGAAUUACUGGGCGUAAAGCGUGUGUAGGCGGCCCUGCAAGUCGGAUGUGAAAUCCCACGGCUCAACCCGUGGAAGUGCAUUCGAAACUGCAGGGCUAGAGUCCUGGAGAGGAAGGUGGAAUGCUUGGUGUAGAGGUGAAAUUCGUAGAUAUCAAGCGGAACACCGGUGGCGAAGGCGGCCUCUGGACAGUGACUGACGCUGAGACGCGAAAGCGUGGGGAGCAAACAGGG
rnacentral:rRNA from 1 species